UACGGAGGGUGCGAGCGUUAUCCGGAAUCACUGGGUUUAAAGGGUGCGUAGGCGGCUUGGUAAGUCAGGGGUGAAAGCUUCCCGCUCAACGGGAGAACUGCCCUUGAUACUGCCAGGCUCGAAUUGGGUUGAGGCAGGCGGAAUGUGGCAUGUAGCGGUGAAAUGCUUAGAUAUGCCAUAGAACACCGAUUGCGAAGGCAGCCUGCCAAGCCUUGAUUGACGCUGAGGCACGAAAGCGUGGGGAGCGAACAGG
rnacentral:ncRNA from 2 species